GAAGCAAAGGAUAUAUUCCAAGCAACUACGUAACAGGAAAGAAGUCCAAUAGUCUAGACCAGUAUGAAUGGUAUUGUAGAAAUCUGAACAGAAGCAAAGCUGAACAGCUCCUCAGAAAUGAGGAUAAAGAAGGUGGUUUUAUGGUGAGGGACUCCAGUCAGCCGGGUUACUAUACAGUAUCGCUUUACGCAAAAUUUGGAGGAGAAGGGCUAUCCGGAAUAAGACACUAUCAUAUAAAGGAAACACCACAAAACCAGUACUACCUGGCAGAAAAACACCUGUUUAGCUCCAUUCCUGAAUUAAUUGAUUAUCACAAACACAAUGCC